GGUCAAGUAGAAAAGGGCGCAUGGUGAAUGCCUAGGCACUAGAAGCCGAUGAAGGACGUGACGAACCACGAAAGGCUUCGGGGAGCAGUAAGUAAGCGAUGAUCCGGAGAUAUCCGAAUGGGGGAACCCAAUACCGCGAGGUAUUAUCAAGAGCUGUUAAGGCUGUUGAAGGAAGACGCAGUGAACUGAAACAUCUAAGUAGCUGCAGGAAGAGAAAGAAAAAUCGAUUUCCCAAGUAGCGGCGAGCGAACAGGAAAGAGCCCAAACCAGCUGGCUUGCCAGUUGGGGUAGUAGGACUGCAAUAAAGUACUUGAAGCGAUAGCAGAAUUAUCUGGAAAGAUAAGCCAGAGAGGGUGAGAGCCCCGUAAGCGAAAUUGCAGAGAGACUUAGCAGGAUCCUGAGUAGGUCGGGACACGAGGAAUCCCGAUUGAAACCGCGAGGACCAUCUCGCAAGGCU
rnacentral:rRNA from 1 species